CGGAGAGUGGCGCAAUUGGCUAGCGCGCGCGCUUUGGGAGCGCGAGGUUCCGAGUUCAAGUCUCGGCUCUCCGACUA
rnacentral:tRNA from 1 species